rnacentral:misc_RNA from 1 species
CUGGGGUUUAAGUUACGAUAAAUUGAGAAGCUUUUGAAGAGAACUGAUUUUCAAUAAUUCAGAGUUGUAAUUUGAACGAAUUGGACUGAAAUUACUGGCUUUGUAUUUGAAUUUUGAAAGGGGGAUUUUGAACUAGGGUUUUGAGAAAGGAUCUAAUUGAUCGAAACUGCACAAGACGAGGGAAGUAAAUUUCGUUCUCUCCCUCUCCCACGACGGAGGAUUCUAACUCCGCCCGGUUCGCGGUGGACGGGCUAUUUAAG